CACACUGUCUCCUGUCAGCUUUCUCUCCCUCCCCCGGCCCUCCUGCUGAUGAGAGACAGGAGCGAUGGAUGGUCUGAGUUAGCGGGGUCCCGGCACCACCCAGCGCAAAGGCACUGCACUCACGCACGCCAUGCACAUGCUGGCUCACCUCCUCCAUCCCAUGCCUCCCCUGUCUCCAGCAUUCCCUCUGGAAUACAUCAGCACUGUUGCCUUUGAGGCUGGCCUGCUUGAAUGCACACCUGAGCUCCGGAUUCACAGCAAUUUCUUGGAUGAUUCACAGUGGAGGAAGCCAGAUGCCAUGUCAUGAGGGUGCUCAAGCAACUUUUUGGAGAUGUAUGUAUGGAGAGAAACUGAGGCCUCCUGCCAACAGCCAGCACUAACUUGGCAAGCAUGUUUGAGAGCCACCUGGGAAGUGGAGCCUUCAGCCCCAGUUAAGCCUUCAGAUGAGACUGCAGUCCUGGCCACCAUCUGGACUGCAACUUCACAAGAGCUCCUAAGCCAGAGCCAUGCAGAUGGAUUCUUGGCCCCCAGAAAUUGUGCCACUACAUUUUGGGAAAUUUAUUAUGCAGCCAUAGAUUACCAAUACACUCACUAUUUCUUUUUUCUGAUGCCAUACUAUAUUUUUGUUUGCUGAUUUUUUUCCUCCGUCUCUCCCACUAGGCAUUAAGUUCCAUAAGGGCAGUGACUGUGUCUGCGUGGUUCAUCCAUGUGUCCCCACAGCCUGGCAUAUGGAGCUCACUAAUAACUCAGGCAUGGGUAAAUGGAGAUCACUCAUUUUAGGCUCAGCCUAAUAAAUCUCCCUCCUAUGGCUCUCUCUAGAGAGAGCAGUAAAAUUUGCCCAACUUCUUUUUCUGUCUUUCUGUAUUUGAUUUCUUACACUUUCUGUGGCUUUCUGCUUAGUUUUAUUCCUGGCUGCCUGACAGAGGGUGGGUUUAUGCAGAUAAAGAGGCACCUGUGGGAGGAAGGGCUCUGUGUGCUUUCUCCUUUAAUAAGCUGUGUCUAAAAAAAAAAAAAAAAAAAAAA
rnacentral:lncRNA from 1 species